rnacentral:tRNA from 1 species
GCCGUUUUUGCUCAGUCGGGAGAUAUCAUGGCUUUUAACCAUGUGGUCGUGGGUUCGAUUCCCACAGACGGCG